CAAAAUGGAAAAUUAUCAAAGCUUUCUAGAGUGGUUCUAGUGCGCAGCCAGGGUACACAAUCCCUGUUCUUCAUUCUCCUAGUUCUUUGUUAGACAAAGCGAGGUACAAGCCUGAAGUGCUGAAAAGUUAAUUGGCGAACCCAGGCCUGAAGGGUUCCUCACCCUGUAGGCUCUGCCAAGGCCUGAGUAUGAUGCUGUGGGUGAUUCACUGCCCAGAAGAUGGAGGGCCUGGGUCAGGACCAGCCUGGACUAUAAGAAGAUAGAAUCCAGUGCAUUCUACACAAUAUGAAUGAAAGAGAGUGAAGAAAGUUGCUCAGUGAAUCUGCUGCAGCAGGAGAACUUUUUCUGUGCUGUAUGGAGCACUUCAUGCUACUUCACCAAGGCUGACGUCAUGUGGAAAAUGGCCAGUGAUUUUCGUGUCCACCCUGGAGUGUGAAAAGAAACAUCAAUUCAGGCUAGACCAAAGAAGCCACCCACAAGGAGUCCCUGGAUGUGAAGGUGAGAAAAUACACAGAGAUUCUCUAAAAGCCAGAAAGCUACUUAUAGUAGUUGAAGCAAGUAUCAGCAAAAAUAGAAUAACAAAUGAGAAGAAGCUGAAGUUGUCUACCUUCUGGUCCCUCUUCCUUCUUUCCUGUUCUGCCCAGAUUUUAGAAUCGACUGCAGUGAUGAGAGGAGGUCUAGAGGGAACUGAUCCAAACAGCUGAUGUCUGUGGCAAGGCUGCAAGGCCACUGUCCUUAAGAGUUCUUUAUAUAAGUUUUGGUGAGGCUCACUGCUAUAAGCUAUGAAGAUGAAAUGCCAGUGGCUCAGAAUGGAGUUUACUUGUCUCUCAUGUGAAAGUCCCAAAUGGGCUUUCCUGGCCAGUGACUAACUCUCCUCUAUGCAGUUAUUCAGACUUCAGCCUUUUCCCUCCUAUGGCACCAUCCUUUUAAACUCCUGGGCUUUCAAAUUCUCCAGGCUUAUCUGCAUCAAGCCAGAGUGGGAAAGAGCAUGAAGGAAGAUGUGCAGGAAGUCUACAAGGGCCUGGCUUAGUAUCACACAUCACUCCC
rnacentral:lncRNA from 1 species